rnacentral:rRNA from 1 species
AUUGAACGCUGGCGGCAUGCCUUACACAUGCAAGUCGAACGGUAACGGGCCUUCGGGUGCCGACGAGUGGCGAACGGGUGAGUAAUGCAUCGGAACGUACCUUUCAGUGGGGGAUAACGUAGCGAAAGUUACGCUAAUACCGCAUAUUCUGUGAGCAGGAAAGCAGGGAUCGCAAGACCUUGCGCUGAUUGAGCGGCCGAUGUCAGAUUAGCUAGUUGGUGAGGUAAAGGCUCACCAAGGCGACGAUCUGUAGCGGGUCUGAGAGGAUGAUCCGCCACACUGGAACUGAGACACGGUCCAGACUCCUACGGGAGGGCAGCAGUGGGGAAUUUUGGACAAUGGGGGGCGAACCCUGAUCCAGCCAUGCCGCGUGAGUGAAGAAGGCCUC